rnacentral:rRNA from 1 species
ACGUAGGGAGCAAGCGUUGUCCGGAAUUACUGGGCGUAAAGGGUGCGUAGGCGGCACAUUAAGUCAGAUGUGAAAUACCCGGGCUUAACUCGGGGGGUGCAUCUGAUACUGGUGAGCUUGAGUGCAGGAGAGGAAAGCGGAAUUCCUAGUGUAGCGGUGAAAUGCGUAGAUAUUAGGAGGAACAUCAGUGGCGAAGGCGGCUUUCUGGACUGUAACUGACGCUGAGGCACGAAAGCGUGGGGAGCAAACAG